rnacentral:rRNA from 1 species
CUAACCAGGAAGAGUUUCCACAUCCAAUCCACUUCAUGUGUCUUGUGUGAUGAUGAACCCAUUGAGCACCUAAUGCAUCUAUUUUUCAGCUGUGAUUUCAGUCAAAAUUUCUCGAUGAACAUUGGUUUCCAAUGGAAUACAUAUUAUGAUCUCCUUGAAAUGUUGUUGGAGGGCAUAAGGCACAGCAAUAUUAUGUGCUACAAAGAAUGCUUGAUUGCAGGUUGUUGGAGCUUAUGGAAGCACAAGAAUGGUAUCAUAUUUGAUCACAAAGAAAAGAAUAUGGCAUAUUGCAUAAGUUCCUUCAAAGAGCACUUUGGCAUGAUCAUCAAGAAAGCAAAACCUAGUUUGAAGGAAGGAAUGCAGAGCUGGCUAGACUACUUGUAG